rnacentral:lncRNA from 1 species
AUGAGAACUUACUUUACUUUGCAUAAAGAUUAGAGUAAGACAGCACCCUGAAAUAAACCCAGCAUGACAACACAUGGUUGCAUUCCCAGAACUAGGGAGCUGAGGCAGGAGAAUUAUUGUCAGGAAGCAUUUAAAGCCACUAUGGGAUACACAGUGAGCUAAAGGUCAACCCACACUGUAUAAGAGAAGACCCUGACUAAAUAACAAAGCAAAAAUUCUGAAACAUAUUGUUCUAUUUGGAAAAUAUUCCUCUUUGUUGAGGAAAAAAGUAUGUGUGCUGGGCUGAGCUAAUUACAAGAGGGCUGAUGGAAGACAGUUGCUAACCCACUGAGAGGACAGCUUUUACCUGCCUAAGGAGAAAAGCCUCAGGGUCAGACUUCAAAGUGCCAGUCAGAGCAGUUUGGGAGGAACCUGGUAAAAACAAUGUAAGCCAGGAAAUUAAGCAGCCUGUGGCAGGACUUUCCGCUAUCCUGGGUGUGGGGUAUCCCCUAAGGUUUUGUCCACUACAGCAAGCAGACUGGCUGAGGGAAGAGGGGAGCCAGGCAGUGGGGAGGACACAAUGCCAAGAUGCUACUCUUCUGGAUGAGGGAGAUAUAGAAGCUCCUGUGGUCAGCAAGGGACUCUAGGACCACAAGUAACAUGCAUGGGACUGAGCAUUCCCAGAGCCUGGAGACAGACUCCUCAUGAAGAGCCUCUGAAGGCAACAUGGGGAGCUCAGGCUCCUCCUUCUACCUGACAUAUGUUCUUCUAACAGCACCAGAAGGAAGAGAAAGGGAAACUUAUGAGGAAAUGGAAGCCUCAUGGCUCUCCCUGACAUCUUCAGUCUUGUGCCUACCCCCUUGCAUUGAAAUAUUCGCUUGUCUACUGCCAUUGUUGGGAUCAACGAUUGGAACCUUCCUACUCACCUGUAGGUGCUGUCUCCUUAAGGUACGAUGCUAUUCUGGAUUCGCUGUUCACAAACCCUGCCCAAGGUAACCGCAUAUUCCUGUGAAUGCCCACAGGAAAUCAUUUGCAUCACCUCUGCCAGCCAUCUCACCAUCCCUUGGAACUAGUGGAUGCUUCUCUUCACCUCAAAAUAUGUCUUUGUUUGGACCCCACAGGUCCACAUAGCUCCUCAGAUGUAUUCAGUGGAUAAUAAAAGAAAAUGGGACCCAUUAAACCCCUGAACC